GUUUCCCUGGACUAGUGGCUAGCAUGUGGUGCUCUCAUCGCCGCGGUCCGGGUUCGAUACCCGCUCAGGGAGCCA